rnacentral:rRNA from 2 species
CAGCCGCCGCGGUAAAACCAGCACCUCAAGUGGUCAGGAUGAUUAUUGGGCCUAAAGCAUCCGUAGCCUGCUCUGUAAGUUUUCGGUUAAAUCUGUACGCUUAACGUACAGGCUGCCGGGAAUACUGCAAAGCUAGGGAGUGGGAGAAGUAGACGGUACUCGGUAGGAAGGGGUAAAAUCCUUUGGUCUAUUGAUGACCACCUGUGGCGAAGGCGGUCUACCAGAACACGUCCGACGGUGAGGGAUGAAAGCUGGGGGAGCAAACCGGAUUAGAUACCCGGGUAGUCCCAGCUGUAAACUAUGCAAACUCAGUGAUGCAUUGGCUUGUGGCCAAUGCAGUGCUGCAGGGAAGCCGUUAAGUUUGCCGCCUGGGAAGUACGUACGCAAGUAUGAAACUUAAAGGAAUUGGCGGGGGAGCAC